GAUUAACGCUGGCGGCGUGCUUAGCCAUGCAAGCCGAACGAUGAAGCCUAGCUUGCUAGGUGGAUUAGUGGCGAACGGGUGAGUAAUACGUGAGUAACCUACCUUUAACUCUGGGAUAAGCCCGGGAAACUGGGUCUAAUACCGGAUACGACCAAUCUCCGCAUGGGGUGUUGGUGGAAAGCGUUAUGUAGUGGUUAUAGAUGGGCUCAGCGGCCUAUCAGCUUGUUGGUGAGGUAACGGCUCACCAAGGCGACGACGGGUAGCCGGCCUGAGAGGGUGACCGGCCACACUGGGACUGAGACACGGCCCAGACUCCUACGGGAGGCAGCAGUGGGGAAUAUUGCACAAUGGGCGCAAGCCUGAUGCAGCGACGCCGCGUGAGGGAUGACGGCCUUCGGGUUGUAAACCUCUGUUAGCAGGGAAGAAGAGAGAUUGACGGUACCUGCAGAGAAAGCGCCGGCUAACUACGUGCCAGCAGCCGCGGUAAUACGUACGGCGCGAGCGUUGUCCGGAAUUAUUGGGCGUAAAGAGCUUGUAGGCGGUUUGUCGCGUCUGCUGUGAAAGGCCGGGGCUUAACUCCGUGUAUUGCAGUGGGUACGGGCAGACUAGAGUGCAGUAGGGGAGACUGGAAUUCCUGGUGUAGCGGUGGAAUGCGCAGAUAUCAGGAGGAACACCGAUGGCGAAGGCAGGUCUCUGGGCUGUAACUGACGCGGAGAAGCGAAAGCAUGGGGAGCGAACAGGAUUAGAUACCCUGGUAGUCCAUGCCGUAAACGUUGGGCACUAGGUGUGGGGGACAUUCCACGUUUUCCGCGCCGUAGCUAACGCAUUAAGUGCCCCGCCUGGGGAGUACGGCCGCAAGGCUAAAACUCAAAGAAAUUGACGGGGGCCCGCACAAGCGGCGGAGCAUGCGGAUUAAUUCGAUGCAACGCGAAGAACCUUACCAAGGCUUGACAUAUACUGGACCGCAUCAGAGAUGGUGUUUCCCUUCGGGGCUGGUAUACAGGUGGUGCAUGGUUGUCGUCAGCUCGUGUCGUGAGAUGUUGGGUUAAGUCCCGCAACGAGCGCAACCCUCGUUCUAUGUUGCCAGCACGUUAUGGUGGGGACUCAUAGGAGACUGCCGGGGUCAACUCGGAGGAAGGUGGGGAUGACGUCAAAUCAUCAUGCCCCUUAUGUCUUGGGCUUCACGCAUGCUACAAUGGCCGGUACAGAGGGUUGCGAUACUGUGAGGUGGAGCUAAUCCCUAAAAGCCGGUCUCAGUUCGGAUUGGGGUCUGCAACUCGACCCCAUGAAGUCGGAGUCGCUAGUAAUCGCAGAUCAGCAACGCUGCGGAAAUACGUUCCCGGGCCU
rnacentral:rRNA from 1 species